AGCGAACGCUGGCGGCAGGCUUAACACAUGCAAGUCGAGCGGGCCCUUCGGGGUCAGCGGCCGACGGGUGAGUAACACGUGGGAACGUACCCUUUGGUUCGGAAUAACGCUGGGAAACUAGCGCUAAUACCGGAUACGCCCUUUUGGGGAAAGGCUUGCUGCCGAAGGAUCGGCCCGCGUCUGAUUAGCUAGUUGGUGGGGUAAUGGCCUACCAAGGCGACGAUCAGUAGCUGGUCUGAGAGGAUGAUCAGCCACACUGGGACUGAGACACGGCCCAGACUCCGACGGGAGGCAGCAGUGGGGAAUAUUGGACAAUGGGCGCAAGCCUGAUCCAGCCAUGCCGCGUGAGUGAUGAAGGCCUUAGGGUUGUAAAGCUCUUUUGUCCGGGACGAUAAUGACGGUACCGGAAGAAUAAGCCCCGGCUAACUUCGG
rnacentral:rRNA from 1 species